AGUGAACGCUGGCGGUAGGCCUAACACAUGCAAGUCGAACGGCAGCACAGUAAGAGCUUGCUCUUACGGGUGGCGAGUGGCGGACGGGUGAGGAAUACAUCGGAAUCUACUUUUUCGUGGGGGAUAACGUAGGGAAACUUACGCUAAUACCGCAUACGACCUACGGGUGAAAGCAGGGGAUCUUCGGACCUUGCGCGAUUGAAUGAGCCGAUGUCGGACUAGCUAGUUGGCGGGGUAAAGGCCCACCAAGGCGACGAUCCGUAGCUGGUCUGAGAGGAUGAUCAGCCACACUGGAACUGAGACACGGUCCAGACUCCUACGGGAGGCAGCAGUGGGGAAUAUUGGACAAUGGGCGCAAGCCUGAUCCAGCCAUACCGCGUGGGUGUAGAAGGCCUUCGGGUUGUAAAGCCCUUUUGUUGGGAAAGAAAAGCAGCAGGUUAAUACCCCGCUGUUCUGACGGUACCCAAAGAAUAAGCACCGGCUAACUUCGUG
rnacentral:rRNA from 1 species